UGAAGGGGGGUGAGAGGAGGGAGGAGAAAGGAUGGGGGAAACGCGCGCCCCAAGAGUGAAAGCAAACAGCUAGCUCUGGAGGCGCCGCCCGCAAUUCAAGCUUCCCAACAGGUUAGCUGCUAGCUAGUCUAGGAUCCACCCGGAAUUUCGCAGGAAGGGGGAGGAGGGAGGAGGAAGACUGCCAGAGGGGGUAGAGCCUUACUAGAGGACAGAAGGAGGGAGGGAAAGAG
rnacentral:lncRNA from 1 species